rnacentral:rRNA from 1 species
CCUACGGGAGGCAGCAGUCGGGAAUUUUGCCCAAUGGGGGAAACCCUGAGGCAGCAACGCCGCGUGAGGGAUGAAGGCCUUCGGGUUGUAAACCUCUUUUCUUAGGGACGAUAAUGACGGUACCUAAGGAAUAAGCCACGGCUAACUACGUGCCAGCAGCCGCGGUAAUACGUAGGUGGCAAGCGUUGUCCGGAUUUACUGGGCGUAAAGAGCGCGCAGGCGGCCAGGUAAGUCGAAUGUGAAAGCCCCCGGCUCAACUGGGGAAGGUCGUUUGAUACUGCCUGGCUCGAAGAUAGGAGAGGGAAGUGGAAUUUCAGGUGUAGUGGUGAAAUGCGUAGAUAUCUGAAGGAACACCAGUGGCGAAGGCGACUUUCUGGCCUAUUCUUGACGCUGAGGCGCGAAAGCUAGGGGAGCGAACGGGAUUAGAUACCCCGGUAGUCCUAGCCGUAAACGAUGAACACUAGAUGUUGGUGGUAUCAACCCCGCCAGUGUCGCAGCUAACGCAUUAAGUGUUCCGCCUGGGGAGUACGGCCGCAAGGCUAAAACUCAAAUGAAUUGACGGA